rnacentral:other from 1 species
AUCUUCCUGCAAUGUACGAAGAUUUAUAUUUGGUUUUGAUCCUAUAUAGAUGAUCGGGGGUCAAAUAAGCUUUUAAAGUAGGUCAAGCCCUCCUUAGGGAAAGGGAAGACUGAACUACAAGAUGAAGACACCCACCUGCGAGAGCAGGGUCAGAAACCAAAUAGUCCAACGGCUUUGCGGGGGAUCU